ensembl:lncRNA
CAAAUAGCUGUGCGUGGGAGGGGAUCAAAGUUACAGAUAAUAUCAGUGAUGCAGACUUUGAUGUGUCACGAAGGCUGCUGCUGAUGGCAGUGUUUUAUAGCCCAGGUCUCCCUUAUGAGAUGUGCUGCUAAAUGUCUCCUUUCAGUGGGUUCUCUUCUGGGAUUUCGGUUGGUGCAGCUCUUCUCCUUCAUGGCUCUGUGGUUAUGCAGAUGGAACGGCCUGAUUAGGAAGACUGAAGGACGGAGACUGGGAACGGAGUUCCUGGACAUCAGUGGGACCUUCUGCCUGCCCGGAGGGGACAGAGGUGCUGCAGCCUUGUAUUAUGGGAUGCAGGUGGAUGACCGACAUACAGUGUGGACCUGGGACCUACUGGGGGAAGUCCUGGAGGAAAAGCACUGCUCACAGAUCCAGGCGCAUCCCCUGAGCUGCAAACCAACGCUCUGCUCCUGG